rnacentral:rRNA from 1 species
CAGAUUGAACGCUGGCGGCAUGCCUUACACAUGCAAGUCGAACGGCAGCGGGGGUAGCUUGCUACCUGCCGGCGAGUGGCGAACGGGUGAGUAAUACAUCGGAACGUGCCCUGUAGUGGGGGAUAACUAGUCGAAAGACUAGCUAAUACCGCAUACGACCUGAGGGUGAAAGUGGGGGACCGCAAGGCCUCAUGCUAUAGGAGCGGCCGAUGUCUGAUUAGCUAGUUGGUGGGGUAAAGGCCCACCAAGGCGACGAUCAGUAGCUGGUCUGAGAGGACGAUCAGCCACACUGGGACUGAGACACGGCCCAGACUCCUACGGGAGGCAGCAGUGGGGAAUUUUGGACAAUGGGGGCAACCCUGAUCCAGCAAUGCCGCGUGUGUGAAGAAGGCCUUCGGGUUGUAAAGCACUUUUGUCCGGAAAGAAAUCGCUUCGGUUAAUACCUGGAGUGGAUGACGGUACCGGAAGAAUAAGGACCGGCUAACUACGUGCCAGCAGCCGCGGUAAUACGUAGGGUCCAAGCGUUAAUCGGAAUUACUGGGCGUAAAGCGUGCGCAGGCGGUUGUGCAAGACCGAUGUGAAAUCCCCGGGCUUAACCUGGGAAUUGCAUUGGUGACUGCACAGCUAGAGUGUGUCAGAGGGAGGUAGAAUUCCACGUGUAGCAGUGAAAUGCGUAGAGAUGUGGAGGAAUACCGAUGGCGAAGGCAG